GUGCUCGCUUUGGCAGCACAUAUACUAAAAUUGGAAUGAUACAGAGAAGAUUAGCAUGGCCCCUGUGCAAGAAAGCAUGACAUGCAAAUUUGUGAAGCGUUCCAUAUUUUG
ensembl:snRNA U6 U6 spliceosomal RNA